GUUAUUAUGUUGUUGUAUAAAUUUGGUCAAAUUUGAAAAAUGUUGACUCUCCAAGAUUCUUGGAAUGACUUAUAAUUUGGAACGGAGGGAGUAGUAGACUUGUAGAUUUUGAAAUUCUAGGCAACUUUUGUGUUGAUUAUUUUUUGAUUUGAAGACAUCAUCCAAAUUGUAGGUACAACAGAUCGCAUGUAAACGUUUGUGAAAACGAAUUGUGAAAGCGUUUUGAAUUUUAAAAUUUACUCUACAAUAAAGUUGUAGUUUUUGAAUUUUUGAUAAAACUUUUGUUGAGCAACUUUUAAUUCUAACGUGUUUUGGUGUUCAUAUUGUACGUAUAUGUUGCUCGUGUUGAAGUAACGGAUGGAACAAGUUGUGGUUUGAUUUACGUAAAUUCGAGGGUUUUUCUAAAAAAAUUCUAAAAGAGGAUCAGGACGCGCGGGUUGAUUUUAUGAAAACUAUAGGUUUUCUUUGCGAAUUUCCCUGAACCUGGACUAUUGGACCGUGGGUUGAUUUCGAUAAAAAAUUGAUGUCUUUUUCUUAAAAUUUCCUGAGAGAGGAGGCCGGAUCGCGGGUUGAUUUCUCUAAAGUUUGAGGGUUUCUUUGCAAAAUAAACAGGAACUGCACGAUCUAGGCUGUUCGCCUGUCCACCCAGCCAAUCCGACGGUCGGGAAUAGUUCGUGACGUGGCCAGUUUCUCUGGUCUUAUUUUAUUGCGCGAUUCGUAUAUAUAGAUUUUGCUGAGGAAGCAAAGCCCAUAAAUGGUGCUGUGAUCCUCCAUCUCUUAACAGAUUGCAGACUGGUAGUUCUGAAGCAGGCACUAUGUUUUAUUACUUUUUUGCCAGUGACUUUCACUCUCCUGUCCAUUCACUUUGUUUGCUUAUAUUUUCUUUGCGUUAGUUUGUUAUCGUUUGCCUUGAGCCCUUCUUUAUUGCACAGUUUAACUUGUGUAUUUUACUAGCUUGGCUCAGGUGAUACUGGUCUGAUAAUGUAUGUGACACUGUCAUAACCAGCCCAAGGUGGAAAAAUCAAGUUAGUACAAACAAAAGAGUUUGAUGGAACAUGCAAUUAUGUUUCACGCAUUGGUAUGCAAGUAUAACCUCCUUUGCAUCCUAUCAGUUAUGUGCUCUGGUUUCCUCAUGAGUCAAGGUGGGUUUUCGUUCAGCUUCUGCUUGUUUGUGUUUCUGCCUAACAUUUUAGUGUCCAUGUUUUUUUUAAAAAAAUAACAGCUAUUUGCAAGUUCUUAAAUGAUCGGAGGUCAGUGUUCCAGCAAUGCUUAGAUCUGCUUUGAUAUAUAGCCAUAUCAUUCUCUGCUUGUGCCGAUUUAACUCAUCCUUAUAUGAAUCAACAAGCUACUAAAUGCAUCUUUUAUAUGUAUCUUAUGAGACCCUUCAAUGUACUUUAUGUAGUUAAAAAUCAGUACUAAUUUGGAUACACUGAAACCAAAAGGUUGACUACCAAUCUUUAUUACUAGAUUCAGGCAACCUGAUAAAGUCAAUUUUUUUUAGAUCAAACGAUACUGACAUUACUUUUCAUGUGGCUGAUACAAUCAUACAAAUAUUGAUGGCAGUAUCAUUUGCCAAGAGAGUAAUAGUCUGACUGCACACAUUCUAGGACCACGCUACAUAUAUUUAGCUGGAGGUGGUAGAUGAAACUGUUUGAUGUUUGUUAGUUGUUACUGCAUAUGCUUUCUCUUCCUUUGGUUUUGUUGCUGUCUACUUUUGUAACGGUUGGGAGUUAGUGGGUUCUCUUAGCCUUACAUCAUUGCUUGUAUGCUGAUCUAGACACAAGGCUUGCCUCCUUGCAAGCUGCAAUUACUUUAAUUUGUUCUUAGCUCCCUUCUUUGCUUCUUUGUCUGAAUGCUGCUGUAUCAAACUCGUAUGCAUGGUGAUCCCUGGCUUGAAAAAUGAAACUGCUUGUUUUAUUGGGAUGAGUAACUAUGUAGUCAAAAGAGCUUCUUAGUCAAUAGAUGUAUCCCCCCCUCCCCCCCCAGUUGGAUAUCACACUAAAUAUUGUGGGAAAGGUUUAACUUCAGAGCAGGGGGUUAUGUUCUGCGUGCGCACCUGUACAACUUGUUUAGUUAGCCAUAGAUCAAUUUUCAUGCUUACAUCGUAUAACGUCACUUCCUUGCGCGAUGUAAUGCAUAAAUGAAUGAAGAGGGAUGCAAGUGGGCUAGCGCGCGAACAAACAUAUAGGCUUAACCAAGGUUUCUGGUGCGCUAAAACAUGAAUUGUUGUCUUCUUCAACUUAGUGCAAAUCAAGAUGUGUUAAAUUAAAAACUGCACAAACAGGUUAUGCAGGCUAUAGCGGUAUUUUUAGAAGCUUAUUUUUAGAAGCUAUCGCUAAAUCUAAUAGUCUGCUAUUUAAAACACUGGCCUAUAAUACUGAUUAUUGCUGCUUGUAUGAGAAGUAGCUCCUAUAACUUUACUUUUGUUAUACCAUUUUGAUGUAUUGCGGAAAUUCCUAAUUUUACACGUUCGGCCUGUCACAAAAUUUGAAUUAGUGUUUGAUGGUAUACCAUCAACAAUGCCUAAACCUGCCAUGUGAGAUUUUCUCAACUAAAGAAUGUACUCAACAGCUGCAGGUACAGAGACUGGAUGCAUCUCCCAAGUCGGCUGCUUGCUCAAUUACGAGCUCAGCACAGGAUUGCGAGUAGAAUGGCAUCAUAUAUGUAAAUAUUCUCUCUUCCCAGGGCACUGGUUUCUUGUUAAGAACCUGUUCCGAGCACUACAGUUUUCUGAGUUUUCUGCUGGAAUAAGAGUUUUCAACGGUGUAUGUCGCCAAUUAUUUUACUGUAUCGUAUUCUUUGCUGGCACUGGUUUCUUCAAGAACAUGAUCCGAGCAGAGAUUCAGAGUGUACGCAA